rnacentral:piRNA from 1 species
UUUGAAGCCUGAUGACUUCCGUAUGGGCGG